ACAGAGGGUGCAAACGUUGUUCGGAUUGACUGGGCGUAAAGCGCGUGUAGGCGGCUUGGCAAAUCGGAUGUGAAAGCCCACGGCUCAACCGUGGAAGCGCAUCCGAAACUGCUUCGCUUGAGUCUCGGAGAGGAAGGUGGAAUGCUUGGUGUAGAGGUGAAAUUCGUAGAUAUCAAGCAGAACACCUGCGGCGAAGGCGGCCUUCUGGACGAUGACUGACGCUGAGACGCGAAAGCGUGGGGAGCAAACAGG
rnacentral:rRNA from 1 species